CUGGCUCAGGACAACGCUGGCGGCGUGCCUAAUACAUGCAAGUCGAACGGCUUUUCUAUGGAAGCUUGCUUCCACUGAGAAGAUAGUGGCGAACGGGUGAGUAACACGUGGGUAACCUGCCCAUAAGAGGGGGAUAACAUCCGGAAACGGGUGCUAAUACCGCAUAGUUUUCUUGAUCGCAUGAUCGGGAAAGGGAAGACGGCCUUUGUGCUGUCGCUUAUGGAUGGACCCGCGGCGUAUUAGUUAGUUGGUGAGGUAACGGCUCACCAAGACGAUGAUACGUAGCCGACCUGAGAGGGUGAUCGGCCACAUUGGGACUGAGACACGGCCCAAACUCCUACGGGAGGCAGCAGUAGGGAAUCUUCCGCAAUGGACGAAAGUCUGACGGAGCAACGCCGCGUGAGUGAAAGAAGGUUUUCGGAUCGUAAAACUCUGUUGUCAGAGAAGAACAAGUUGGAGAGUAACUGCUCCAGCCUUGACGGUAUCUGACCAGAAAGCCACGGCUAACUACGUGCCAGCCGCGGC
rnacentral:rRNA from 1 species